GCUGGUGCGGUGGUGCAUGCCUGUCGUCCCAGCUACCUGGGAGGCUGAGGCUGGAGGAUCUCUUGAGCCCAGGCGUUCUGGGCUGCAGUGCGCCGUGCCCGUUGGGUGUCUGCACUAAGUUCGGCACCAAUAUGGUGAACACCCAGGAGAGGGGCACCACCGAGUUACCUAAGGAGGGGUGAACUGGCCCAGAUUGGAAAUGAAGAAGGUCAAAAUUCCCGUGCUGACCAGAAGCAACCUCCUUACACCCUUGGUAGAGGAGAGAGGCCCGAUUUAU
rnacentral:SRP_RNA from 1 species